UCCAGACUCCUACGGGAGGCAGCAGUGGGGAAUAUUGCACAAUGGGCGAAAGCCUGAUGCAGCAACGCCGCGUGAAGGAAGAAGGCCUUCGGGUCGUAAACUUCUGUCCUUGGGGAAGAAGAACUGACGGUACCCAAGGAGGAAGCCCCGGCUAACUCCGUGCCAGCAGCCGCGGUAAUACGGAGGAUGCGAGCGUUAUCCGGAUUUAUUGGGUUUAAAGGGUGCGUAGGCGGACGCUUAAGUCAGCGGUAAAAUUGCGGGGCUCAACCUCGUCGAGCCGUUGAAACUGGGUGCCUUGAGUGGGCGAGAAGUACGCGGAAUGCGUGGUGUAGCGGUGAAAUGCAUAGAUAUCACGCAGAACUCCGAUUGCGAAGGCAGCGUACCGGCGCCCAACUGACGCUGAAGCACGAAGGCGUGGGUAUCGAACAGGAUUAGAUACCCGGGUACUC
rnacentral:rRNA from 1 species